rnacentral:rRNA from 1 species
GAUGAACGCUGGCGGCGUGCUUAACACAUGCAAGUCGAACGGGAAUUAUUUUAUUGAAACUUCGGUCGAUUUAAUUUAAUUCUAGUGGCGGACGGGUGAGUAACGCGUGGGUAACCUGCCUUAUACAGGGGGAUAACAGUCAGAAAUGGCUGCUAAUACCGCAUAAGCGCACAGAGCUGCAUGGCUCAGUGUGAAAAACUCCGGUGGUAUAAGAUGGACCCGCGUUGGAUUAGCUUGUUGGCAGGGUAACGGCCUACCAAGGCGACGAUCCAUAGCCGGCCUGAGAGGGGGAACGGCCACAUUGGGACUGAGACACGGCCCAGACUCCUACGGGAGGCAGCAGUGGGGAAUAUUGCACAAUGGGGGAAACCCUGAUGCAGCGACGCCGCGUGAAGGAAGAAGUAUCUCGGUAUGUAAACUUCUAUCAGCAGGGAAGAUAGUGACGGUACCUGACUAAGAAGCCCCGGCUAACUACGUG